CGUGUUUAUGUUGUAAUUGCAUAAAAAUCAUUGCCCGAACAUCAGUGGAUACAGAAAAUUAUACUUGCAUGAUACACUAAACCUGGAGAACCACUGUUUAAACAGGAUUAAUAUUGUUGACAACGUGUAGCUGUGACAGUUUAACAAAUAGGAAAGCCUGUGAACACUUUAAAACAAGAGAAUCAUGGACAUAGACUUCUUUAGAUUUACUAAUUAUCAGAAGACUUGUGGAAUGUAUGUUAGUUUUAUACUCUAAAUUUGGUGGAAGUUCAGAAAAAAGACAUGUGAUCGAGACGAUAUUGUGAAUGUGGCAAUCCCGAUAGACUG
rnacentral:lncRNA from 1 species